GACGAACCACACGAACGUUAUUCGGAAUCACUGGGCUUAAAGGGUGCGUAGGCGGCGCGGUAAGUCGGGUGUGAAAUUUCGAGGCUUAACUUCGAAACUGCAUUCGAUACUGCCGUGCUAGAGGACUGGAGAGGAGACUGGAAUUUACGGUGUAGCGGUGAAAUGCGUAGAUAUCGUAAGGAAGACCAGUGGCGAAGGCGGGUCGCGUGGACAGUUCCUGACGCUGAGGCACGAAGGUCAGGGGAGCAAACGGG
rnacentral:rRNA from 1 species